rnacentral:rRNA from 1 species
GACGAACGCUGGCGGCGUGCUUAACACAUGCAAGUCGAACGGAAAGGCCCUGCUUUUGUGGGGUGCUCGAGUGGCGAACGGGUGAGUAACACGUGAGUAACCUGCCCUUGACUUUGGGAUAACUUCAGGAAACUGGGGCUAAUACCGGAUAGGAGCUCCUGCUGCGUGGUGGGGGUUGGAAAGUUUCGGCGGUUGGGGAUGGACUCGCGGCUUAUCAGCUUGUUGGUGGGGUAGUGGCUUACCAAGGCUUUGACGGGUAGCCGGCCUGAGAGGGUGACCGGCCACAUUGGGACUGAGAUACGGCCCAGACUCCUACGGGAGGCAGCAGUGGGGAAUAUUGCACAAUGGGCGGAAGCCUGAUGCAGCAACGCCGCGUGCGGGAUGACGGCCUUCGGGCUGUAAACCGCUUUCGCCUGUGACGAAGCGUGAGUGACGGUAAUGGGUAAAGAAGCACCGGCUAACUACGUG